rnacentral:rRNA from 1 species
UUCUCCCUUCUGACGAACCAUGAUGUCAUUUAUUUGGUGUUGUGGGGAAUCAGGACUGUUACUUUGAAAAAAUUAGAGUGUUUAAAGCAGGCUCACGCUUGAAUACAUUAGCAUGGAAUAAUGAAAUAGGACGUUUGAUUCUAUUUUGUUGGUUUCUAGGAUCGACGUAAUGAUUAAUAGGGAUAGUUGGGGGCAUUAGUAUUCAAUUGUCAGAGGUGAAAUUCUUGGAUUUAUUGAAGACUAACUACUGCGAAAGCAUUUGCCAAGGAUGUUUUCAUUAAUCAAGAACGAAAGUUAGGGGAUCGAAGACGAUCAGAUACCGUCGUAGUCUUAACCAUAAACUAUGCCGACUAGGGAUCGGAUGAUGUUAAUUUUUUAAUGACUCAUUCGGCGCCUUACG